rnacentral:rRNA from 1 species
UACGGAGGGUGCAAGCGUUAUCCGGAUUCACUGGGUUUAAAGGGUGCGUAGGUGGGCAGGUAAGUCAGUGGUGAAAUCUCCGGGCUUAACCCGGAAACUGCCAUUGAUACUAUUUGUCUUGAAUACCGUGGAGGUCAGCGGAAUAUGUCAUGUAGCGGUGAAAUGCUUAGAUAUGACAUAGAACACCGAUAGCGAAGGCAGCUUGCUACACAAUUAUUGACACUGAGGCUCGAAAGCGUGGGGAUCAAACAGG